UUCUGGACUGACACUGACACUGAGGUGCGAAAGCGUGGGUAGCAAACAGGAUUAGAUACCCUGGUAGUCCACGCCGUAAACGAUGUCGACCAGCCGUUGGGUGCCUAGCGCACUUUGUGGCGAAGUUAACGCGAUAAGUCGACCGCCUGGGGAGUACGGCCGCAAGGUUAAAACUCAAAUGAAUUGACGGGGGCCCGCACAAGCGGUGGAGCAUGUGGUUUAAUUCGAUGCAACGCGAAGAACCUUACCUACUCUUGACAUCCUGCGAACUUGUGAGAGAUCACUUGGUGCCUUCGGGAGCGCAGAGACAGGCGCUGCAUGGCUGUCGUCAGCUCGUGUUGUGAAAUGUUGGGUUAAGUCCCGUAACGAGCGCAACCCUUGUCCUUAUUUGCCAGCGGGUAAUGCCGGGAACUCUAAGGAGACUGCCGGUGACAAACCGGAGGAAGGUGGGGACGACGUCAAGUCAUCAUGGCCCUUACGAGUAGGGCUACACACGUGCUACAAUGGCCGGUACAAAGGGUUGCGAGCUCGCGAGAGUCAGCUAAUCCCGAAAAGCCGGUCUCAGUCCGGAUCGGAGUCUGCAACUCGACUCCGUGAAGUCGGAAUCGCUAGUAAUCGUGAAUCAGAAUGUCACGGUGAAUACGUUCCCGGGCCUUGCACACACCGCCCGU
rnacentral:rRNA from 1 species